CGGUGAGGACGCUGGCCUGUUGCUCUUCUCUGCAGCGUUUGGUUUUUCUCCUGUACUGCAUUUAUUCGUUUGGGUUUCAGUGAUUGUCUGUUAUACCGUAAGGAGUUGGAUUGGAAUUGCGUUUUUGGAUUUUUAUUUAUUUAUGGAAGUAGUGACAGAAAUCGGUUGAAUCUCGGAUUUUGUGUUAUUAGAUUGUUCUUGUCUUCUUGGAAUCGACGGUGAUCAUGCGAUUCUGUUGACGUCGAUCCCUUGUGAUGACGAUUGGUCUAACUCUUAACCUGUUAUUAAGAACUGAUUAAAUGGAUUUGUUUUGAUAUCUAUUCUUCUCGGAGUUUUCACAAAAGCAUUGCUACUGUUCAUUUUUUAACGUAAUUAAGAGUAUUGGCUAUCUUUUCAUUGGAUUAUGUUGUGCAGAUGGGCAGAUGGUUCUUUUGGGUUUCUUUCCUCUGUUACGAGAUUUAAGGAGUUGCAGUGUUGGCAGCGUAACUGUUUUUCGUGGACAGAAUUUGGUUUGGUCGUUGAGUUUUAUAUUUCUUCAUGUUUAUAAUUUUGGAAGUUUGGAAAAAAAUAUUUCAAUACAAGGUUUCUGCCUGCAGUGAUGUUGCUGCUAAUUCCUUUUGUGAAGAGCUGAUCCUUCAACUUUCUCAUGGCCGUGAGGAAGGUUUCUCCUUCUGCCUUGUGAAUAAUAUUGUCUUUUGAAGUUCAUUAGUAACAUGUCAGAAGAUAAAGAUAUUGUUAGUAUGUUUUUUGUGAAUGCAGUUUGGAAGAGAUGAGGAGAUACUAAAUGACCGUGGCAUACUGCUUUUGAUUUGCUGAGAUUCCUUAUUAAUUUGGUUUAAACAGGAGUUUUUUAUGGUAGUGCGGACAUAAGAUAUAUAUGCUAAUUUUUUAUGAUUGUGAGUUUGAGUUUUAAUUGUGAAAUCUGUGUUCUCUUGGGGUUUGCUUAUUAAUUCCGGAUAAAGAGAGGUUGAACAUAACUUCAUAUACUAAUUUUUCGUGGUUGUGAGUUUGGGUUCUUGUUCUGAAGCCUAUAUCUUGCUGGGAUUUGUUUGUGUUUGUAAGAAGAGAGUCACCAGAUUACAAGUUAUGUCAGUUCUGAUUUUGCUUUCUCUUGGUCUUGAUAUCUGAUUUGCAUCAUUGUUUUGAAGGUAUAUAGUUUUUUAGAAGUGUAGGCAGCAGACAUGAAGCUUCUUAGAAACUUUUGUUCGCAUAAUUUAUUUCUUUAUUUCCGGUUAUAUUUUCAUUAGUUACAUUGGCACAAGAGGAACUCGUGGAAGAUGUGGACAUUAAGGACUUCAAACUGGUGACGUUUGUUCCUUUUACCUUUUUGUUUGCAUUUCACUGUUUCUUUCUCUUGUUUUUGGGCUUGACUUAUGGUUUUUGUAGGUAGUUGUUGACAAGAGCAAUGUUGGAAAUUUUACCUUCAGCUCAUAAGACAAAAGUCUAUAGUCUGAUUGUACAGAUUCUUUUUUUAAUUUUAUUUUCCACCAUUUUUAGAACCUCUUGGUUUUUAAGACUUCCUAUUGGAUUUAACUCUCAAGGAGAUUUUGUUUCCUGGUUCUUCAUAACUCUCUAAAAUAUUUGGUUUUGGAAGACCAUUUGUUGGUACCGUGCUUGAGAUGACUUUUCGACCCUUUUAUUAUUUAGAAGUGUGUUUGGUGUUAUCAAUUUCCAGAAUUAUUAUGAUAAAGGACAAAGAUGAUGGAUUUUGCAGGAAUAGGGGUUUCUUUUGGCAUCUUUUCUUGGUCAGAUUUUCACUACAGUCUUGGAAUUUUGAACGUUGUCAAAGCAAUUGUUUUGGGUAGUAUGCCUUGUAAUUUGAUUUUGCAACAAUAGUUUGUAGAUCCUUCCAACUUUUGAUUAGAUCUCUUUUUCAUAUUAAUAGAUGGUUCUUCAUUCUGCUGUGUUCUUUUUUGGAUUCCCAUAAUGCAGAGAUGGAUAAUACUGAGAUUUUGAUACUAUCUACAUCAAGAUUCGAGCUAAAUCAUCCAAUAGGUUUUUCUUGUUCUGUAUUUUUUUAUUUUACUAGCAAAAGCCUUUCUCAUUUCUUUUUUUUUUAGGUUUUGGAAUUUUGUAAUUUUUUAAGGUUUUCAUGCAGUAUAUUGGUUUUGAUUGAUCGUUUGCCCUUAUUUGAUUCUUGGGUUAGAGGCUGCUCUUAGGAACUAUUAGCAUUCCACAGGGAAAAUGAGAUCUUAUGUGAGCUUUGUUAUUUCAUAUCUUUGUGGAUGAAGUGCUUUUCAAAAAAAAAAAAAAAAUCUUUGUGGAUGAAGCUUGGGAGGAAGGGAUUGGUAAGAGAUGGAAAGUGAUAAUAGACGGCCACUUAAUUGUGUUUGUGUGCUUGGAGUUCUAUAGUGAUAUCUAUUUUGUGAUUGUAGGUAGUGGCGGAUAUUUAUAGUUUUUCAACUUUUGUUGACUAAUAUAAUGCAUUUGGGCUUCACUGUCUUGGAUUACGGAGUUAAUUGGAUCGUAUAAAUGUCUUGAAGGUGUUAUUUUGUAAGGAAAUUGAUUUGAUUUUGUUUAACUGAAAAAGAUUCUUUGUAAUUCAAGUUUUUUAUAAUGGUCCUAAUUAAUGGUUUUUAUGUGUAGUCUGAGGAGGUCGGUUGGUCUCUAGUAAUGGAGAAAUUUGUUGCUAUGUUUUCAUGCCCUAUUCUUUGUGUACCUUCCACCAUUUUCUUUCUUUCAAAACUCCAUGUCCUUUAUGUUCUUAAUGCAUUGUUUUGGGAAAGCAAAAAACUUGGGAGUUGGUUUGACUUUAAAUCUUAUAAAAAAUUUAGAACAUUUUUUUAUGUGUUUUGACAUGGUGAUUUUGACUCUCUAGUCUCUGUUUUGCUUCUUUUGCCUUUUUGUUUGGUUUUCGAACUUCUUAGUGUUUAAUAGUUUUGUUCUUGAUGGUUUUGUUUGGUUUGAUUCUCAAUAUUCUCAAUCAUGUGUUUAGAUGGUAGUGUUGGUAAUGGGGCUCUCUGAUACUUCAGGUGCUGUUUGAGGUUAUCAGUUAGAAUUGAAGAAAAGACAGGGAUGGAAGAUUUGGAAGCAGUGGGUGAUUUUGGAGCUGGUAUUUUGGAGCGUUCUUCUGGGAUGUAUUGAUUGGAAACUUGAAUACAGCAAUUUGUAGCUCAAUGGCUAGGAUUGUGAGGGCUUUAUCACAAAGAAAUGAUUGUGGAUAAUAUGGUAUUUGGAAUUCUGAUUGAGUCAAUCUGGAGUUGAUUUGAGUGUUACUAAGAUCAGUUUGUUGUUUGAUUUUAACAGAUGGAAUGUGGGAUUCUCAAACUGGGGUGGAUAAUUCAUCAAUCUUGCUGCAGUUUAAAGCUUUUAGGUUUGGCAGUGUUUGAAGAAGUUAUUUGAUACUUGAAUUUUUGAUGCAGUUGCUGCUUUUGUCUGGUUUUUACAUUUCUAAUUUCUUUUAUCAUUUAGUCUCCUGGUAUUUGGGCUAAGAACUUUUUAUGGAUUUUGGUAGGAAGUUUUCUGCAAUUUCUGUGUGACCAUACACAUUAUGUUGGGAGUAUGAAAGAUUCUAUAUAUUGGGUUGAUGGAGUCUGAAUAGAGAAGGGUAAGCAGAUGCAGAGACAAUUGAUGGCCAUGAUCUAUGUUAUGUUUUCUCUUUCUAAUUCAUUUAAAUGAUCUUGAAGUUUUACAGGCAGUGAUCAUAUUGCUUCAAUGAACAGUAAUUGUUGUAGAUCCAGUGAUAAUUGAUGGCCAUGGUUUGUGUCGUGUCUUCACUUAAUAAUUCAUAUAUGGGGUUCAUCUCGAUGUUUAACAGGCAGUUAUCACCUUGCUUAUAAUAAGAACAUUAAUUUUCUAAUGUGAUUGUGUUGUGGACUUUGAUCCUAUUGGCAUUUCUUAUGGUGGGAGAGACCUUUCCAGAUAUCAAACUUUGUCAUCUUUCUUUGCACGUUAGCUUUUUUUUUUGUUGGUAAUGUUAAUCUUUCUGGCCUCCAAACUGCUGUUCAUCAGUAGCGGAAAAUGGAUCAUGGCUUUUAUAAGUUUUCUUGUUAAAGUCUUUUGUAUGCAUUGGUUGGUUGGCUGGACAUUGUGAUGGGGAAAUUUGAUAUCUUCAUUUCUUGCUAUUGAUUCUUGUUCAUUGUUGGAGGAUCUUUUACUUUGAUCUUCUUGUUUUAGAAAAAUAUAGAAGCUAGAAGCCGUUUGUCCUUUGUGUUGUUUGUUUUUCUGUGGACUGUUUUUUGCCUUUUGUUUGUGACAAUCUCAACUCCUAGUGUUCAUAGGUAGUUGUUGACAACAGCAAUGUUGGAAAUUCUAUCCUCAGCACAUAACACAGAUAUAAUACUAUAGUUAUAUACAUCAAAAUUUUCCCACCCUUGAUCCCUCUUGGUUUUUUUCACUUGUAAUAUCCUUUUACUAUGGUUGACCUCUUGGUUUUUAUUGCUUGUAAUAUCUUUUUAUGGUUUUGUUUGCUCAGGGUUGUGGAUUUUGAAUUUCUGAAUCCUGUCUCAACUCAAGACUCUUGAGGAAAUUUGCUCCCUGGUUCUUAUCCAAUCUUUUUAAACUUUUUAGUUUUGGAGCUUUUAGGAUCCUGAGUAGUUAAUGUCACUGAGUGUGAUAUGACUUUUGGACCCUUUAUUGUUUUAGAUGCUGAUGUAGUUUCCACAAUUCAAAGCAGGAAGUGCAAGGAUGAAGAUCUUGCUGAAUUUGGAAUAGUGGUGUUUCUCUACAUUUGUCCUAAAUUUGUUUUUUCUUCGUUUGGUUAGGUUUUUGUGCAGUAUGUUGCUUUGGUUGCUUUCUGUGCUUCAUGUUCUUGAUUCUUGGGUCUCCACGGGCUGCUGUUAAAAAUUAUUAGCAAUUAUGCUGAGAUAAUGAGAUCUUAUGUAACUUUGUUAUCCCUUUGUUGAUGGAGAUUGGGUAAGUAGAUAAGGAGGUGACGCCAUUUUAAUUGUCUAUGUCUUACAUAUACCCAAAAUUUGCUUACUGGGGUCCUUGGCCAGAACCACACGUGCAAGUUUCCCUGCAUGUAGCUCGUCCGUGCUUUCCGAGGCACUGCUGUGACUCAGCAUGAGAGAAGGGGGCGGAACUGCACUCUCUCGUGUUCAUCGCAUUGUCCAAGUGAGUAGGCAGCGCCUACCAAGCAAAGCUUUCUUGAGGAGGCUGGGCUGCAUCCUUUUCGGUAAACCACCUCUUUUUAUUCUUCUUUACUAAAAGCUGUUUGGAAAGAUUCCGGUAAUCACUUGCUUGUUUCAAAAGGUUGCAGACAUCCUUGCUGACUGGAACAGUAAUGUUAUGCUGACAUUUUUCUUGUGUUUGUGAUUGAUAACUAUAUGAAUCCUUCUGUGAUUGUAGGUACCAAAUACUUUUCUGGUUUCUCAAGCUCUGCCACUAGCGUAUAUUUCAGUUGUGUUUUCAUUUCUUGGAUUUUUGAAGUCUAGUUUUAAUUAGUUUUUAUAAAUGUCUGGAACAUGUUACUUUGUGAGGGCUUCAAAUUGAAUGGAUUUUUUUUAACUGAAAAAAUAUCUUUGUAAUUCCAGCUUUUGUAGUGGUCCUAAUCAAUAUUUUUAUGUACAGUGGUUGCUUGGGCUUUACCAACGGAAAAAUUUCUUACUUAGUCUUUUAUUUUCUGUUUUGGAUUCCUGUGUUCUGCGCCCAAUACUUUUUAACUUUUAUCCUUUUCUUUUCAUAAGUCUCCUGCCCUUUAAGUUCUUAAACUUUUGCUAUUUUCUUUUUUGAUCAAAUGCUUCUGGAAGGAGAUCAAUUUGGUGUUUCUUUUGUGUUUUUUGUUGUCAGGUUUUGGAAGCCAAAACAUAAUCAAGGUGGUUUGCCUUUAAAAUCAUUUUUUAUUAUCUAUUGCUUAAAUUCCCAAAAUUUAUUGAUAUGCGUUUUUUACAUGCAGUUGUCAACAACAGUAUGCUUAGUUGAUGAGUAAUUCUUUCCCUGGUAUUUUGAGAAAAAUACCUUUAUAGUUCCAGCUAGUUUUUAUAAUGGUCCUAAUUAAUGGUUUUAUAUGCAGUGGUCAGUUGGGCUCUACUAAUGGAGAAACUUGUUGCAAAGUCUUGAUUUCCUUUUUUGGAUUCUUGUGUUCUGUGUGCAUUAUCUUUCACCUUUUAGCUCUGUUUUUCUUAAGUUCAAAACUCCCUUGUCCUUUAUGUUUUGAAUGUUUAGCUUUUGUAUUUGUUUUUUGUUUUUGUUGUUAGAGGUUUUGGGGAGGCAAAACUUAAUGGAUUUGGUUUGACUACCUAUUUCUCUUCACUUUUUGGCAAGAAUUUGAAAGUUUUCUGAUAUAUGCGUUUGUUGAUGAGAUUCUUGAGCAUUUUGGAUUUAUGUUUUCAUAUUCUCGUAAUUUUUUUUCUCUUUUUUUUUUCCCCUUUUUGGCCUCUCUUUGUUCGCUUAGACUCAUGUUUUUGUUUGGUUGGUUUGUCUUGAUUUUGCAGUCCUGUAUUUAAAUGAUGUGCUGCUAAAGAGGCUAUUCGAUAUUUGUACGUUCUGUUUGAGGUUAUCAGUUAUAAAUAUUAGAGAAUAUGAGAGCACGAUUGAAGAACAAUGGUGGGUGAGGGUUUCUUGUGAAAGGUUCUUUUUACACUAUAUCUAUACAUCUCUCCAUUUGUCAGUCAGAUGUUCCAUUUUAGUGUUUGGAGUAAGUGAUUUUGACUCAAAUUUUAUGGGAUGUUAUUUACGUGAAUCUUGGAUAUUGCUGAUUGUGGACAAUCUAAUAUUUGAGAUCUGGAAAGCAGAUCUGGGUUGAUUUGCAGUGUUUCUAAGACCAGUUUGUUGUUUAGUCUGGUUUCAUCUUACAUGCAGAUGUUGGGAUUCUUGAGUUGGAACGGAUGAUCCGUCAAUCUUUCAGCUGUAUAAGCUUGGUUUGGCAAUGUUUGAAGUUAUUUGAUACAUGUAUUUUUGGUGCAGUUAUUUGACUGGUUUUUAACUUUUCUAACUUCUUUAUCCCUUAGUCUCUCUGUGCUUGUGAAUUUUCAGUGCAUUUUAGUAGGAAGUCUUAUCCAAUGUAUGUCUGGUUAUUCAUGUUAUGUUUAGGAGUGUAAGAUUGUUGUAUAUUGUGGUGGAUGAAGUUCAAAGAAUGAAGACAGAAAGGGGUAAGCAGAUGCAGAGAUAAUUAUUGAUCAUGGUCUAUGUUACCUCUUUUCGCUAGAAUCCAUAACCUUGGGGGUUUAGCUUUAUGUUUUACAGGCAGGGAUCACUUUGGGACCGUAAUUUUCUGAGACACUAGUGUAUGGAGUUGUUAUAGUGGUACAUGUUGUAAACCUGUUGUGGGAAGAAUAUUCCAGCAUUUCAAGUUCUGUGACAUUUUUCUGUACAAAAUUUGCUUCUCUCAUCUCUUUGAAGUGUAUUUGGAAAUUAGAGGUAUAUUUUCUGUGAUUGGGUUUUUUUUUCAAGUUUUGGACGCAGAAGUAGAGGAGAGGAAGAUAUUGCUUGUAAAGGACUUUGGACAGGAUGGAUUUGACUGAUUUCCAUUUUCUCUAAAUAUAUUGUCCAUGAUGAUAAAUGGUAUAUCUAUGCUUUUGGUUUGCUGGCUGUAUUGGUUCCUAUUUGAUCUUGUUGUGGAACCCCUGAUUGACAGGAAUUAGUCUUGGAUGCACUUUUGAGCUAGAAAAUUUGGGGAAUCCAGAACAGAUGAACGCCAUCUAUAAAGGGUUCUUUCUCAGCUCUCAAUCUUGCAUUUGUGGUUUCCAAUGAGAAAAUGCAGGCUUGUCUUCUCUUCAGCGUCUAAGCUUUUCUCCUCAGCAUUUGUUUCUAAUUUUCUUUGCAUAUUGGCUUUGGUUUCUUUAAUUGUUUGUUUUGUUUUUUCAUUAUUGGAUUUCAUUUGUCAUGUUGAUAUUUUUUUGUAAGUCCUAUCGAAACAAGAAGUAGAUGUCGGAUGAAUCUUGUUUUUUGUGUAGAUUGUUCUUGGAGUAUAAGAUCUUGUGAUUCUCUUGACGUUGAUUGUGGAUAUUGAGAUAUGGUUUGAUACUUUGGUGGGUGUUCAGCCUUUCUGCGAAGGAUUGGGAAUGAUUAUUUUGGAUUAUUGGCUCUGUAUUUAAUUGAUUCAGUUGUCCAGAUGGCAGAUGGUUCUUUUGGGUUUGUUUUCUCUUCUAAUACGAGAUUUAUGAAGUCAGAGAUCAUCCCAUGGUGACGGCUCUAUGGAGGUUUGGAAAAUAUUUCAAUACAUGAUUUAUAUCUGCAGUGCUGGGUUUUCCUUUUCUAAAGUGCCUUGUACGUUGCCAUGACCCCCUCAUAGUUAUUAGGAAGUCAAUGAAAAUUAUAAGUAUCUUUUGUGAAUGUAGUUUGGAAGAGAUGAGUUUAUGUUGCCAUGCCUAUACUGCUAUUUGAUUUAUUUUUGAGUUCUUAUUGUGAGGAUUUGUCUAUGUAUAUUUUACAAGUCAGGUCAGUUCUGAUUUUGCUCUACUCGGGUUCAUUGUCUUAUUCGGAUCAUCGCAUAGUUUUAAGUAUCUUUUCAAAUUUUUAUUUUUUAAAAGCGAAGUAUCUUUUCAAAUUUACUGGAAAGAGCUUUUUGAGAAAUAAUUUUUUUAAUUUUAAUGUAAAUAUGUAAGAACAAAAAUAAAAUUAGCUAUAGUUAAAAAUAAAUUUUUAAAAAAUCUUGAUGUAAUGCGAUAUUAAGCAUUGUUGAUAAAUCUUAAAAAAGUUUGUAUUUUUUUCAAAUUAUUUAUUAAAAUUUGUAAGUGUCAAUGUUGUAUAAAUAAUUUAUUUAAUUUUUAAGAAUAAAUUUAAGAAUAAAGAUGGUUGAAAUUGGUAUUCAAAAUCUUCACUUUAAUUUAUAAAAAUAAGGUAUAAAGAUUAAUUAAAUAAAAAAUUAAUAUUAAAAUGUUUAAUGCUUUUUUAAAAAGUUUGUAUUUCUCAGAUCAAUAUUAAAGUUAGAAAUUAAUAGUAAAAAAUAAUAAUUUUUUUAAAAAAGGUAACUAUACGAAAAAUAAUGGAAAAAUAACGAAAUCUUAAACUUAAUUUUUUUAAAUCAUCACAACACAUAUAUAUAAAUUAAUAGUAAAAAGAAAUAAAAAGUAGUACUUAAUUUUUUUUAUAAACAGAAUUUACAUUAAUUUUUAUGUACUCUUAAUACCUCUACACAUUACUGUUGAAUAAUAACAUAUUGCCUUCCCAAAAAUAAAAUAAUAAUUGAGAAAAACAGUCUUUUUCUUUUAUUCUGGAAUAAAUAUUAUGGAAUUAAUCAUACUCAUACAAAUAAGGGAGACAGUUAGGAUAAAACAAAAAAGAAACAUUCAUAUUUAUUAUAUUCAUUAUCCAUGUCAUUCGCAAAUGGUUGGAUAUACUUUGAUAUAAAAAAUACUAUACUAAAACACAAGUGGCAAGUUAAAUUUUAAUUAUUUCGUCUCUAUAAAAAACUCAUUGGGACACGUGUUAUUGGCUCAACUAUGAUUAUCUAUUUGUUGUAUAUGAUUGACACGUACAUAAGGGAUACUUUUGUAAAUCAAUUAAAGUUUUAUUUGGUUGACCGUCUUUGUCUUCUUACUUCACAUUCAAUUCUUUUUGUUUCCGAUUUCAGGGCUUGCUUGUGUGUGUGUGUGUGUGUUUUUUUUUUUUUGUAAAAUUAUAUUGUUUGGAGUAUUUUUGCACUCUCAAAAAUUUUAGCAAUAAAAACUCUUAAUACAAGUAACAAUUGUGAAUAACAUAAUCACGUUAUUUUUUAUAAUGAUGUGAUAGUGUUAUGUUAUUUUGUCAUGUUAGUAUUAAGUGUUAUGUCAACAUUAUGUUAGUAUUAUAAUUAUUGAUUUAAAUAAAAAAUAUAAAAAAAUUAAAUUAAAAUAAUUUUAAAAUAAAUAUAUUAAAAUAUUAUAAUUUGAAAUAAAGAGAUUAAAUUGAAAAAAAUAUUUUAAGGACUUUUCAGAUAUUUGAAUUUGUACAAAUUCCAUCUUCUCUUACAAUCAGAUGUGGAGUAUCUCGACUGGUUUAAUUGGCAAUAGAUUUAAUUCUAGCCUCAACAUAACACUUUUCUUGUUAAUAAUUUCAUAUAUUAAUGGAGAAAAAUGAUGUGCAAGAGCAAGACUGCUAUAAUAUCUAUAGAUCUAGAGAAAGAAAAGGACAAAGAGGAGGAGAGGAAAGUCGACGACAACUAAUCCUAUAAAUGUGAUUACAACAGAACUGAAGGUCCAAUGAAUGUGACUCUCUAGGACUUAUCCGAGGCUAUGUAGGAGGUGUUUCUGUGGGGAGCUUAGGUUGAGGUUGUGACGCCGAAGGCAAGGCUUAGGGCUUAGGGCUUAGCGGGGCUUGUGAGGAUUUUGAGCAGCAGCACCUUUUUUGCACUUAGGACAGCAGCUUAGGCAGCAGGAAACCAAGGAGUGCAGUCAGGAGAAGGAUGGGCAUACAUGAGCAGUGAACGCGGAGAAUUCACUUUCCAUCUUUGAUGAAGGUGGAGGAACUCAUGACAGCAACAACUACCGAGGGAGCAGCAGCCAGCAAUGUGUAGUGGAAGCGGUGGCGCAAUUCAGUUUAGAUCACCCCUGGAGGCCUAAACAGGAGGCGCUACGUGCAUGAUUUUGUGAAGGGCAAGGAAGUUUUGCAGGGCAAUCAAGGAAUGAUACAGCUAAAACACGGUCGACUUACUCGGGCUAUAGGAUUAACAAUUCAUGCGAACAGGAAGGAUUUUGAGAGCACGACCCGGGCCUUCGUAACCACGGGUACUCGACUGGGGUUAUAUCUGGAAUAUGGCGUCCCCCGGGACAUCUAGCGUGAUAGAACCGCAACCUACCUCUUCGAAUCUCAUACGAAUAGGGAUUGCAAACACAGAUUAUGAAAUGGUCUCAAUAUAUAGUGACAUGACUGUCACAAACCUCCUGCCUACUCAGGACUAAGACCGACAGCGUUAUGUACUUUUUUGCAAUUCCAGUUAUGUAGUUGGAAUCCAUUUGCCACUUUAGCAAUUGCAGAAGUCGGGAUAAUGUGUUAUUUAUCAUA